AUUGAACGCUGGCGGCAUGCUUUACACAUGCAAGUCGAACGGUAACAGGCCUUCGGGUGCUGACGAGUGGCGAACGGGUGAGUAAUGCAUCGGAACGUGCCCAGAGGUGGGGGAUAACGCAGCGAAAGCUGUGCUAAUACCGCAUGUGAUCUGAGGAUGAAAGCGGGGGACCAAGCAGCAAUGUUUGGCCUCGCGCCUCUGGAGCGGCCGAUGUCAGAUUAGGUAGUUGGUGGGGUAAAGGCCUACCAAGCCGACGAUCUGUAGCUGGUCUGAGAGGACGACCAGCCACACUGGGACUGAGACACGGCCCAGACUCCUACGGGAGGCAGCAGUGGGGAAUUUUGGACAAUGGGCGCAAGCCUGAUCCAGCAAUGCCGCGUGCGGGAAGAAGGCCUUCGGGUUGUAAACCGCUUUUGUACGGAACGAGAAGGCUCUGGCUAAUACCUGGGGCUGAUGACGGUACCGUAAGAAUAAGCACCGGCUAACUACGUG
rnacentral:rRNA from 1 species